rnacentral:tRNA from 1 species
GAGGGUAUAGCUCAGUGGUAUAAGCAGAUGCUUAGCAUGCACGAGAUCCUGGGUUCAAUCCCCAGUACACCUA